GGCAGCAUACUGCGUGGCUGUAAAUGAAAAUGAAGACAACAGGGAAAGACAGAGAAGGCUGGAGCGGAGAGGUGUUGGUGCGCCUGGAGCCGUUCUUCAAAGGCGUCCACUUUCAGUUCGCCCAGGCGGGAGGCAUCACCGCCUGUGUUAGCGGAACUAUAAUUCUAUUUGCAGACUGACAACAUGUAAUAUUUCUCAGGGUGAAGGGAGUCAGUGCGAUUUGAAGGAUUUGGAGAGAGUGCCCAUCAACACCACUUGGAAUUAAAAUUCUAUAAGCAAAGACAGCCAGCAGUAAGCUUGUAAGAAUUUCCUUCGCAUUUCUGGCUGGUUUCAUAACCCUUUUAAAGGUUCUGGGCAUUAGGAUGGGAAAAUACCAUUUGGAGGACCACCAAUCAGCCCUCUAUAGGCAUAUGUGAAUGAAAACGUCGUGUAUAUGUUCCUGGUGAAUUAAAUCCUUUAUAACUAUGAGAGAACUCUCUUUGUCUCUAGCAAUAUUUAUUGCCUUAAAGUCUGUUGUCUUUUUAUCCAACCUUUCUGGAUCCCAUGUUUUGGAUGUACCAUUAUGUGUAAUGUCUAACUGGGAUUUUAGAAAUCUAUUGAUCUUUCUUCUUACC